AACACUUGUUCUUCAUUAUGAAUGAAAAACCAAACUUGUCCAAACAAGAAACAGAAAUAAUAUUUCUGCUAAUUGCAUGUACAUAGUAACAAUUCUCUAACCGAAUUAUUAAAUCACUAGGUAAAGUCAAUACAUAAGUUCCUAUGGCUAAAGCAACAACCUUUACUCCAUUUCCAACUCGUAGGUCUUCACCUUUUGCCAAAUCUCUACUCCUUUUUAGCCCCUGGACAUUGGUACAAAUAUCCAAUAUCUAAUACCCAUGAUGCAAAAG
rnacentral:lncRNA from 1 species